AGCGAAUAGAUACCCGGGUAGUCCAUGCCGUAAACUAUGGAUACUAGCUGUUGGGGGGUAUCGACCCCUCCAGUAGCGAAAGCUAAACGCGUUAAGUAUCCCGCCUGUGGAGUACGAUCGCAAGAUUAAAACAUAAAGGAAUUGACGGGGACCCGCACAAGCGGUGGAGCGUGUUCUUUAAAUUCGAUGCUAAACGAAGAACCUUACCAGGGCUUGACAUCCCUUGAAUUACUCCGAAAGGAGUGAGUGCUUUAUUGAGCAAGGUGACAGGUGAUGCAUGGCCGUCGUCAGCUCGUGUCGUGAGAUGUUUGGUUAAGUCCAUCAACGAGCGCAACCCUUAUACUUAGUUGUAUUUUUCUAGGUAGACUGCCCCGGUAACGGGGAGGAAGGGGGGUA
rnacentral:rRNA from 1 species